GCCAGGUGUAGUGGCGUGCACCCGUAGUCCCAGCUACUCAGGAGGCUGAGGUGGGAGGAUCACUUGAGCCUGGGAGGUUGGGGCUACAGUGAGCCAAGAUUGUGCCACUGUACUCCAGCCUGGGCUACAGAGCAAGACCCUGUCUCAU
rnacentral:SRP_RNA from 1 species